CCCUGCCCCUCCCGGGUCCUUCCUAUCCUGGAACAAAUCAUUGGCUCAGACAACAACGAUGUGUUUAUCCCACAGGAUGUGACUCUGAAUAUUAGAAUGUCAGAAGCAGCUGCCUUCGCAAUAAGUUGCUGUCAGCGAGGAAAUAAAAGGGGAGUUGCAGUUAUUUAAUUUGGAGCAUGCUGGCGACAGGCUGGGCCUGAAGACUCACUGCUACUCUCCCAGCGGCACCUGCAGCAGACCCAGUAGGACCCUGUCCUUGGUUCUUGUCCUCUCGAGUCUGGGUGGGGCUGCUCACACCUUCCGCCAGCCCUUAUGUCCCUCCCGGAUGCCCAGCGCUGAGCUCCUCUCCUCCGGGGCCCUGCCCUCCUUACAGCCCUCCUGCCCCAUGUUGAAGAGAGGAAGCUGGGGCUCAGAAAGGCUGAGUAGCCAGGUCUUCUAACUCCACACACAGAGAUGGGGAAGGAGGCCAGUACCAGCGGCUCAGUUUUGCCUUACUGAGUGCCUCCCGUGGGCUUGGCCUGGGAAUAUCAAGAUGAGAGAGAUGCAAGGCUCCGUCCUGCCGCACUGUUCUCUGGUCCUGCAAUCCAGGACCUCAGGAGACCCCAGCAUGAAGUCCACCGGAGCAGGCGAGUGUGAGCUGGAAGCCUCAGAGUGUGGAGGAGAAGCGUGAGGAAGAGGGAACGCGGGUUCCAGUCCCAACUCAGCACUUGCUGGGUUUGUCACCUGGGCGGUUGCAGUGCCCCUUGGAGCCUUUUCCGCAUCUCGAGAACCGUGGCUAUUGGCCGGGCUCACAGACUGUGGUGAGGCCAAUGGGCAGACUUAAGUAGCAGCGUGGUGCCUCGCCACCGUGGGUGUGGGUCCUCCUGCAGGGGCAGCUCUGACCACACCCCUGGCAGCCUCUGGCCUUCCUCCACCCGACUCCCUGACGUCCAGAGUGGAGCAAUGAAGGAACUUCGAAGUUGGAGGCAGUCCUGCUCUUCAGUUAAUUCUGUGCCCUUUCUGUCCUUCCUCUCCUCCUGGGUCUUCCGUUGAAGUUGAGACUGUCACCUCCGUCCUGCCAAGCUGUAGGCCCUGCACAUCUGCUUCCCCACUGUCAACCAUUGGACACAGACUCCAGGUCUUCUGCUCCAAGUCAAAUCAGCCCUCCCGCAGUGAAGAUCUGAUUUUAUAGUUGGCCUCACUCAGAACCACAGUGUGUAAGUGGAAGAACACGGCCUGUGCAGUGUCUCCUAACCUCAUAGCCUUUGGUGAUUGGGAACCUCCCAAGCAAGCCUGAUUUGGAGAUUGAGAGUCCUGGUUGCCACCUCUGAGUCCAGUGCUCCUUCCAGACGGGAAACCAGGCACCUCCCCAGAUCUGGGUCUGAGGGUCCAUCAGCCCUGCCUGCUCCGCGCCACUGAUCAAAUGGAGGGGAGUGGUCUCUGGCUGGGACCUGUGAAGUUGCAACCUUAUGUGGUUUAUCCCAUUUGCCUCACCCCGCUAGAAGAGGGGCGUCUGUCUGGCCUCUUUACCCAAACUACCUCCAGGACCCUGCAGCCUGCAGAGCUGCAAGCUUUGUUCUCUUCAUGGAUCUUUCUAGAACAUGUGGUGGCCACCUCACACUCUUGCUUAACCGCCUAGUGGCUCGACACUUGUUUUUGGAUAGUAACAUCACCUUCUAUCCUGGCAUUCAAAAGCUUCCCUGAUCUAGACCCCAGCUCGCUUAUGGCUUUAGCUCAGAUGCUGCCCACUGAGCCUUGGCCCCGUGGAAUGGUUUGCCGCCUUUGGAUGAGCCAUGCUGUCUCCCAUCUCUGUGCGUUCACCCGUGCCAUUCGGAUGCCCUGCUGCCUUUUCCAUCUGUAGACCCCUCCCCAUGUGGCCAUGGCCAUUGUCACCUUGGCAGGAAGCCCUCUUUAGUUCCUUGCUGGAGGCCCUGUCUUCAGCUCAUCUUUAUAUCCCAGUGUCCAGCACGGUGCUGGGCGCCCAGCCGGGUCCUCAUUCGUCUGUGCUGAUGCCAGGGUGAUCUUUCUACAACCUUUCCCGCCAGAGGUGAGUGCACUCGACGGUUCUCUGUAGGUUUCGAAGCCUUUGGAGUAGGAUUUAUAAUCUGAUUAUAUGCAGAAGUAGGAUCCACAUGACAACAUUCAAUUAAAUUCAAUUCUAAAAAUCAUUUUGGGUGGCUUUUAGCUUACUUGAUAUUCAUCGUCAGUAACGCUUGGAGCCCCUCCCCGCCAGCUCUGUACUCAGGCUCUGUGAUCGCCUAAUUUAGUUUUGUCCAUCUGUUGUAAACAGUUGUCUCUGGACCCUGCAGAAACAACCCCCCCAGCUUCAUCCCACCUUCACCUGUGAAGUCAGGGGUCCUGGUGCUCAUCGCUGCCACCGCGGCUUUUCUGGGAGGCUGGCGUGUGGGUGUGCACGAGUGUGUGAACAAGUAGGUGUGCCUGUGUGGGUGUGUGCAUGUGUGUGUGUGAACAAGUAGGUAUGCCUGUGUGGGUGUGUGCAUGUGUGAAUGUGUGUGUGAACAAGUAGGUAUGCCUGUGUGGGUGUGUGCAUGUGUGAAUGUGUGUGUGAACAAGUAGGUGUGUCUGUGUGGGUGUGUGCAUGUGUGAGUGUGUGUGUGAACAAGUAGGUGUGCCUGUGUGGGUGUGUGCAUGUGUGAGUGUG